rnacentral:tRNA from 1 species
GGGCGUGUGGCUCAGUUGGUAGAGCGUUCGCUUAGCAUAUUCCAAUAUGCGAAAGGUCCUGGGUUCGAUUCCUAGCUCGUCCA